rnacentral:rRNA from 1 species
UACGUAGGGGGCAAGCGUUGUCCGGAAUCAUUGGGCGUAAAGCGCGUGUAGGCGGCUUGGUAAGUCCGCUGUGAAAGUCGGGGGCUCAACCCUCGAAUGCCGGUGGAUACUGUCGGGCUAGAGUGCGGGAGAGGCGAGUGGAAUUCCUGGUGUAGCGGUGAAAUGCGCAGAUAUCAGGAGGAACACCAAUUGCGAAGGCAGCUCGCUGGAACGUAACUGACGCUGAGACGCGAAAGCGUGGGGAGCAAACAGG